GAGUUUGAUCAUGGCUCAGGACGAACGCUGGCGGCGUGCCUAAUACAUGCAAGUAGAACGCUGAAGAGAGGAGCUUGCUCUUCUUGGAUGAGUUGCGAACGGGUGAGUAACGCGUAGGUAACCUGCCUGGUAGCGGGGGAUAACUAUUGGAAACGAUAGCUAAUACCGCAUAAAAUUGAUUAUUGCAUGAUAAUUAAUUGAAAGAUGCAAUUGCAUCACUACCAGAUGGACCUGCGUUGUAUUAGCUAGUUGGUGAGGUAACGGCUCACCAAGGCGACGAUACAUAGCCGACCUGAGAGGGUGAUCGGCCACACUGGGACUGAGACACGGCCCAGACUCCUACGGGAGGCAGCAGUAGGGAAUCUUCGGCAAUGGGGGGAACCCUGACCGAGCAACGCCGCGUGAGUGAAGAAGGUUUUCGGAUCGUAAAGCUCUGUUGUAAGAGAAGAACGGGUGUGAGAGUGGAAAGUUCACACUGUGACGGUAUCUUACCAGAAAGGGACGGCUAACUACGUGCCAGCAGCCGCGGUAAUACGUAGGUCCCGAGCGUUGUCCGGAUUUAUUGGGCGUAAAGCGAGCGCAGGCGGUUAGAUAAGUCUGAAGUUAAAGGCUGUGGCUUAACCAUAGUAUGCUUUGGAAACUGUUUAACUUGAGUGCAGAAGGGGAGAGUGGAAUUCCAUGUGUAGCGGUGAAAUGCGUAGAUAUAUGGAGGAACACCGGUGGCGAAAGCGGCUCUCUGGUCUGUAACUGACGCUGAGGCUCGAAAGCGUGGGGAGCAAACAGGAUUAGAUACCCCGGUAGUCCACGCCGUAAACGAUGAGUGCUAGGUGUUAGGCCCUUUCCGGGGCUUAGUGCCGCAGCUAACGCAUUAAGCACUCCGCCUGGGGAGUACGACCGCAAGGUUGAAACUCAAAGGAAUUGACGGGGGCCCGCACAAGCGGUGGAGCAUGUGGUUUAAUUCGAAGCAACGCGAAGAACCUUACCAGGUCUUGACAUCCCUCUGACCGCUCUAGAGAUAGAGUUUUCCUUCGGGACAGAGGUGACAGGUGGUGCAUGGUUGUCGUCAGCUCGUGUCGUGAGAUGUUGGGUUAAGUCCCGCAACGAGCGCAACCCCUAUUGUUAGUUGCCAUCAUUCAGUUGGGCACUCUAGCGAGACUGCCGGUAAUAAACCGGAGGAAGGUGGGGAUGACGUCAAAUCAUCAUGCCCCUUAUGACCUGGGCUACACACGUGCUACAAUGGCUGGUACAACGAGUCGCAAGCCGGUGACGGCAAGCUAAUCUCUGAAAGCCAGUCUCAGUUCGGAUUGUAGGCUGCAACUCGCCUACAUGAAGUCGGAAUCGCUAGUAAUCGCGGAUCAGCACGCCGCGGUGAAUACGUUCCCGGGCCUUGUACACACCGCCCGUC
rnacentral:rRNA from 1 species